CCAAUAGCGUAUAUUAAAGUUGCUGCAGUUAAAAAGCUCGUAGUUGAAUUUCGGGACUAAUAUGUCGGUCGUGCCUCGGUACGUACUGGCAUUGUUGGUUUCUCCCUUCUGAAGAACCAUGAUGUCAUUCAUUUGGUGUCGUGGGGAAUCAGGACUGUUACUUUUAAAAAAUUAGAGUGUUUAAAGCAGGCUCACGCUUGAAUACAUUAGCAUGGAAUAAUGAAAUAGGACGUUUGAUUCUAUUUUGUUGGUUUCUAGGAUCGACGUAAUGAUUAAUAGGGAUGGUUGGGGGCGUUAGUAUUCAAUUGUCAGAGGUGAAGUUCUUGGAUUUAUUGAAGACUAACUACUGCGAAAGCAUUUGCCAAGGAUGUUUUCAUUAAUCAAGAACGAAAGUUAGGGGAUCGAAGACGAUCAGAUACCAUCGUAGUCUUAACCAUAAACUAUGCCGCCUAGGGAUCGGAUGAUGUUAAUUUUUUAAUGACUCAUUCGGCGCCUUACG
rnacentral:rRNA from 1 species